AGCGCAGCGGGGGCCUGUGACUGUCACCUGGCGCCCUGCCCAGACGGGGCCUCUUCCCCAGCCCGUGACCCCCGCGAGGUGUUUUGGAAGGACAUGGAGGACCCCGCAGUGCCCACAUAGGCUUUCUGCGUAAAGGGCGCCCCUGGAGCCGGGAACGGAGAGGACCAUCGCCCUGAUCCUGCAAUGCUGGACAGAGGACUGAAGGGCGUUCCCAGACAGACCGGAUUCCUGAUUUUGAGGCUUGCGAGUUGGUACAGCAUAGAGAAUCAGAAGAUGGAAGGAGAACAACUCUGCAGAGAAGAUGCACCAAUGAGACCAUAGGUUCAAAAAUACUCAUUACAGCAGUAUUGUAGCUGAAAAACCAAUGAUAAAUCCAACUCUUCUUGUUGUUGUCGGGUGCCGUUGAGUUGGCUCCAACUCAGGACAACCUCAUGUAUAACAGAAUGAGAUGUUGCCCCAUCCUGCACCAUCCUCACACUAGUAGGUAUGCUUCCAGCUACCGUGUCAAUCCAUCAUGUUGAGGGGCUUCCUCUUUUUUGCUUUACCAAGCAGAUAUCCUUCUCCAGGGACUGGUCCCUCCUGAUAACAUGUCUGGACACCAAAGAAGAAUUGGCAGCUUUCCAUUACGGUAUUGGCGAAGAAGAAUAUUGAAUACACCAUGGACUGCCAGAAGAGCGAAUAGGUUUGUCUUGGAAGAAGUACAGCCAGAAUGCUCCUUAGAAGUGAGGAUGGUGAGACUUUGUCUCACGUACUUUGGGCAUAUUAUCAGGAGGGACCAGUCUCUGGAGAAAGACAUCAUGCUUGGAAAAGUAGACGGUCAGUGAAAAAGAGGAAGGGGAUUUACACAGUGACUGCAAUGAUGGGCUCAAACAUAGCAACAAUUGUGAGGAUGGCGCAGGACUGGGCAGUGUUUCACUCUAUUGUCCAUGGGGUCUCUGUGGGUUGGAACUGACUCGAUGACACCUAACAACAACAACUUGUCCAAAGUAAGCGAGCCAAUGUCUCACCGUCCAAAAGAAGCCCUAGCCAAGGCUGAAAGUGUUCGGAGAGAUGGUUUUCAUACCUCUUUGCAAGGUCGGGCUGUAAUUAUCAGGCUGUUGAUGGUCCGAAGUCAUCCCAGACCUGCCAGGGGAGGUCUUGGCCUUUUUAUGAAUAUGUGGCUCUUUGAUAGGGAUCAGGAAAUUUUUUCACAAAGGGCCAGAUGGUAAAUAUUUUAGGCUUUGCAAACCAUACGGUAUCUGUCACAACUACUCUCUGCUGUUACGUGGCAAAAGCAGCCACACACAAUAUGUUGCCGAAAUGGCGUGGCUGUGUGCUGAUAAAACUUUAUUGACAAAAACAGGCAAUGGGGGCCAGAUAACUCCAUGGGCUCUAGUUUGCUGAUCCCUGCUUUGUGUGUGUGAUUGACUUCAGGGUGGGCACCCUGAUAUAAAACAGACAGGAGGCUCAUCCCUGGCAUAAUGACCAGGGUGGUUAAUUAAAUGGUUUGCACUUAACUACUAACCUAGAGGUCGUUGGUUCACACUCACGCAGUGGUACCGCAGAAGAAAAGACCUGGCAAUCUGCCUCUGUAAAGAUUACAUCCUUGAAAACCUUAUGGGGCAGUUCUUCUCUGUCACAUGGGGUCGCUAGGAGUAAGAAUUGACUCAAGGGCACCUAACGACAACAUGAACCCAUGAAACUGUAUAUCGAGUUUUGUGUGUGUGUGUGUCAGGAAAAUGGACUCAGAGCCCCCACUGGAUGUCAAAGGUGUCUGCAGGCCCCAGGAAGAUUAAACUUGCUUAUGCGGAGGUCAGGAGUUUGGGCAGAAGCAAGGAACUGAGCUAGAGUUAUUUGGGACUGAAUCUCAGAUUGGGAAAAGGGGACAGGAUGUGUCAGCACCCCCAAGGGAGCUGAGGCCUUGGUGCUGACAGAGUAAUGAAAGCCAGCAAGUCUCAGAGGAAGGGAAGGACGGAAAUAGAAGUGCCGCCAGCCAUGAGGGCUACCAUGGGAAUGGGGCCGGAUGUUUCCAGGGAGACCCUUGGAAGAUUGACCGUGAAUUUGCAGAUUCCUAGGCUGUGGGCUACGGCUCCUCCAAAGACACCCACCAAGGGGACAAGACAAUGGUGGCCUGUUGAUGUAGCUUGGUCGAGUCAGCGUGGGAGAUGGAUGUCUGUCCUGGGUGGUCAGUGUCCUCGCACUGGUCAGAGCAGGCACAGAGUCAGUGUGGGAGAUGGACGUCUAUUCUUGGUGGUCAGUGUCCUCACAGUGGACAGAGCAGACACAGAGUCAGUGUGGGAGAUGGACGCCUGUCCUUGGUGGUCGGUGUCCUCACGCUGUACAGAGGAGCAGACACAGAGUCAGUGUGGGAGAUGGACACCUGUCCUUGGUGGUCAGUGUCCUCACAGUGGACAGAGCAGACACAGAGUCAGUGUGGGAGAUGGAUGUCUGUCCUUGGUGGUCGGUGUCCUCACACUGUACAGAGGAGCAGACACAGAGUCAGUGUGGGAGAUGGACACCUGUCCUUGGUGGUCAGUGUCCUCACAGUGGACAGAGGAGCAGACACAGAGUCAGUGUGGGAGAUGGACGUCUAUUCUUGGUGGUCAGUGUCCUCACAGUGGACAGAGCAGACACAGAGUCAGUGUGGGAGAUGGACACCUGUCCUUGGUGGUCAGUGUCCUCACAGUGGACAGAGCAGACACAGAGUCAGUGUGGGAGAUGGACGCCUGUCCUUGGUGGUCGGUGUCCUCACACUGUACAGAGGAGCAGACACAGAGUCAGUGUGGGAGAUGGACACCUGUCCUUGGUGGUCAGUGUCCUCACAGUGGACAGAGGAGCAGACACAGAGCCAGUGUGGGAGAUGGACGUCUGUCCUGGGUGGUCAGUGUCCUCACAGUGGACAGAGGAGCAGACACAGAGCCAGUGUGGGAGAUGGAUGUCUGUCCUGGGUGGUCAGUGUCCUCACAGUGAACAGAGGAGCAGACACAGAGUCAGUGUGGGAGAUGGACGUCUGUCCUGGGUGGUCAGUGUCCUCACAGUGGACAGAGGAGCAGACACAGAGUCAGUGUGGGAGAUGGACGUCUGUCCUUGGUGGUCAGUGUCCUCAUGCUGUACAGAGGAGCAGACACAGAGUCAGUGUGAGAGAUGGACGCCUGUCCUUGGUGGUCGGUGUCCUCAUGCUGUACAGAGGAGCAGACACAGAGUCAGUGUGGGAGAUGGACACCUGUCCUUGGUGGUCAGUGUCCUCACAGUGGACAGAGCAGACACAGAGUCAGUGUGGGAGAUGGACGCCUGUCCUUGGUGGUCGGUGUCCUCACACUGUACAGAGGAGCAGACACAGAGUCAGUGUGGGAGAUGGACACCUGUCGUUGGUGGUCAGUGUCCUCACAGUGGACAGAGGAGCAGACACAGAGUCAGUGUGGGAGAUGGACACCUGUCCUUGGUGGUCAGCGUCCUCACAGUGGACAGAGGAGCAGACACAGAGUCAGUGUGGGAGAUGGACGCCUGUCCUUGGUGGUCGGUGUCCUCACGCUGGACAGAGGAGCAGACACAGAGUCAGUGUGGAAGAUGGAUGUCUGUCCUUGGUGGUCGGUGUCCUCACGCUGUACAGAGGAGCAGACACAGAGUCAGUGUGGGAGAUGGACACCUGUCCUUGGUGGUCAGUGUCCUCACAGUGGACAGAGCAGACACAGAGUCAGUGUGGGAGAUGGAUGCCUGUCCUUGGUGGUCGGUGUCCUCACACUGUACAGAGGAGCAGACACAGAGUCAGUGUGGGAGAUGGACACCUGUCGUUGGUGGUCAGUGUCCUCACAGUGGACAGAGGAGCAGACACAGAGCCAGUGUGGGAGAUGGACGUCUGUCCUGGGUGGUCAGUGUCCUCACAGUGGACAGAGGAGCAGACACAGAGCCAGUGUGGGAGAUGGAUGUCUGUCCUGGGUGGUCAGUGUCCUCACAGUGGACAGAGGAGCAGACACAGAGUCAGUGUGGGAGAUGGACGCCUGUCCUUGGUGGUCGGUGUCCUCAUGCUGUACAGAGGAGCAGACACAGAGUCAGUGUGGGAGAUGGACACCUGUCCUUGGUGGUCAGUGUCCUCACAGUGGACAGAGGAGCAGACACAGAGUCAGUGUGGGAGAUGGACGCCUGUCCUUGGUGGUCGGUGUCCUCACACUGUACAGAGGAGCAGACACAGAGUCAGUGUGGGAGAUGGACGCCUGUCCUUGGUGGUCGGUGUCCUCACGCUGGACAGAGGAGCAGACACAGAGUCAGUGUGGAAGAUGGAUGUCUGUCCUUGGUGGUCGGUGUCCUCACGCUGUACAGAGGAGCAGACACAGAGUCAGUGUGGGAGAUGGACACCUGUCCUUGGUGGUCAGUGUCCUCACAGUGGACAGAGCAGACACAGAGUCAGUGUGGGAGAUGGAUGCCUGUCCUUGGUGGUCGGUGUCCUCACACUGUACAGAGGAGCAGACACAGAGUCAGUGUGGGAGAUGGACACCUGUCCUUGGUGGUCAGUGUCCUCACAGUGGACAGAGGAGCAGACACAGAGCCAGUGUGGGAGAUGGACGUCUGUCCUGGGUGGUCAGUGUCCUCACAGUGGACAGAGGAGCAGACACAGAGCCAGUGUGGGAGAUGGAUGUCUGUCCUGGGUGGUCAGUGUCCUCACAGUGGACAGAGGAGCAGACACAGAGUCAGUGUGGGAGAUGGACGCCUGUCCUUGGUGGUCGGUGUCCUCAUGCUGUACAGAGGAGCAGACACAGAGUCAGUGUGGGAGAUGGACACCUGUCCUUGGUGGUCAGUGUCCUCACAGUGGACAGAGCAGACACAGAGUCAGUGUGGGAGAUGGACGCCUGUCCUUGGUGGUCGGUGUCCUCACACUGUACAGAGGAGCAGACACAGAGUCAGUGUGGGAGAUGGACACCUGUCGUUGGUGGUCAGUGUCCUCACAGUGGACAGAGGAGCAGACACAGAGUCAGUGUGGGAGAUGGACACCUGUCCUUGGUGGUCAGCGUCCUCACAGUGGACAGAGGAGCAGACACAGAGUCAGUGUGGGAGAUGGACACCUGUCCUUGGUGGUCAGUGUCCUCACAGUGGACAGAGCAGACACAGAGUCAGUGUGGGAGAUGGACGCCUGUCCUUGGUGGUCGGUGUCCUCACAGUGGACAGAGGAGCAGACACAGAGUCAGUGUGGGAGAUGGACACCUGUCCUUGGUGGUCAGUGUCCUCACAGUGGACAGAGGAGCAGACACAGAGCCAGUGUGGGAGAUGGACGUCUGUCCUGGGUGGUCAGUGUCCUCACAGUGAACAGAGGAGCAGACACAGAGCCAGUGUGGGAGAUGGACGCCUGUCCUGGGUGGUCAGUGUACUCACACUGGUCAGAAGAGCACACAGAGGUGAUGUAUGGUAGCCCCCCUGCUAGGCCAGCCACCUCCUUACCCCUGGUGUUGUGGCAGAGCCCCUAUUUUGUCUGAGUGUCUACCCAGAAUGGGUACCCUGUCAGCCUCUGGGUUGAAAGCUGAUCCGUUGUAGUCAAUUGUGAAGAUGUUGACCCACGUGCAGAAAUGGGUUUUGAUACUCUAGGGACUUCCAAAGAGAUACAUUAGAGGACCUGUGAAUGGAACCUUAUUUGGUAAAAAGGUCUUUCUAGACAUGAUUAAGGGAAAUAUCUAAAGAUGAGAUCAUCCUGGAUUAAGAUGCACCCUGAACCCAACAACAAGUGUCCUUAGGCAUCAGAGGAGAAGUCCUGCAGUGAAGGAGGGGGUGAAGACGGAGGCAGAGAUUGGAGUGAUGAGACCUGCUAUGGAUGGAAUUGUGUCCCCCCCAAAAUGUGUGUUGGAGUCCUGUCUGCUGUACUUGUGGAUGUGACCCCUGCCCACACUGCACCUGCCAUCUGGUAGAUAGUCUGCGUUGGUUUGUGGAAGAUACCAUUUCAUAACGCAGGGUGCAGGGUGGUGAACGGUGACCCCAACAACAUGUGUUCACGUCCAGGAACCUGGAACCUGUGAAUGGAACGUCACUUGGUAAAAGGCUUGCCUUAGGCUGGGUUCUCUAGAGAAGCAAAAUCAGUGAUGUAUAUAUAUAUAGAGAGAGAGAGAGAGAGAUAUUUAUAUCAAGGAAACGGCUCAUGUGGCUAUAGAGACUGGAAAGUCCCAAGUCUGUGAGUCAGACAUCAGGCUGGAAGCUUCUCCUGACUCACAUAGCUGCAGGGGCUGGUGAACCCAAGAUAAGUUGCUAGAAGGUAAGCUGCUAGCUCAAGUCCCAAGAACUAGAGGUCAAAUGAGGAUGCAAAGCAAGCCAAAGCCAGCAAACUUUGCCAGAAAGUUCACACACAACGGAUGCAGGCAACACCCCCAAGGAAACUCCCUUUCAAAUGACUGGCUGUUCACAGCAGAUCUCAUCAUGGAGGUGAUUACAUUAUGUAAGAUCUCAUCAUAAAGAUGAUUACAUCAGCUCUCAUCAUGAAGAUGGUUACAUUAUAUCACAACUCAUCAUGGAGGUGAUUACAUUAUGUCUGGUCUCAUCAUGGAGGUGAUUACAUUGUAUCAGGUCUCAUCACGGAGGUGAUUGCAUCAUUACAUAACUGCCAACCUACAUCAUAACUGCCAAAUCCCUGAGAAUCAUGGCCCAGCCAAGUUGACACACAACCUUCACCAUCACAAGGGUGUUUGUAGAUGUGAUCAGGGUGAGCCUCUUAGCAGGAGAUGAUCCUGGAUCACUCUGUCUUAAGUCUUCUAGCGUUGCUAUAACAGAAAUACCACAAGUGGAUGGCUUUAACAAACAGAAAUGUAUUUUCUUACAGUUCAGGAGGCUAGAAUUCAGGUCGCUGGCUCUAGGCAAGGCUCUCUCUCUCUCUCUCUGUUGGCUCUGGAGGAAGGUCCUUGUUUCUUCUGCUUGUUUCCUGGUUCCUUGGUGGUCUUCAUGUGGCAUCUGUCUUCCCCAUCUCUGCUUGCUUAAUCUACUCCUUUUAUAUCUCGAAAGAGAUUGACUCAAGACACACCCUACACUAAUACUGCCUCCUUAACAUAACGAAGAAAACGUAAUCCCAAAUGGGAUUCUAACCACAAGUGUUGUUGUUGUUGUCAGGUGCCGCCGAGUCGGUUCCGACUCAUAGUGACCCUAUGUACAACAGAACGAAACACUGCCUGGUCCUGUGCCAUCCUUACAAUCGUCGUUAAACCACAGGUAUAGGGGUUAGGGUUUACAACAUAUAUUGAAUUGGGGGACACAAUUCAAUCCAUAACAGGCCCUAAAUCCAAUGACAGGUUCCCUUAUAAGGGGCACACAGAGGAGAAAGCCAUGUGAAGAUGGAGGCAGGAACUGGAGUGACGUGUCUACAAGCCCAGGACACCAAGAAUUGCCAGCCAACACCAGAAGCUGGGAGAGAGGCAUGGAAUAGAUUCUGUCUCUGAGCCUCAGAAGAAAUCAACACGCCUGACACCCUGAUCUCUCACUCCCAGUCUUCAGAACCCUGAGGGAAUAAAUUUCAUCUCAUUUGCUGUUAUGUGUUGAGUGUUGUUGAUAGGUGCCAUACAGUCAGAUCUGACUCAGAGCGACCCUCUGUACAACAGAACAAAACACUGCCCAUCCUGCGCCAUCCUCACAAUCCUUGUUAUGCUUGAGCCCAUUGUUGCAGCCCCUGUGUCAAUCCAUCUCAUUGAGGGUCUUCCUCUCUUUCCCUGACCCUCUACUUUACCAAGCAUGAUGUCCUUCUCCAGGGACUGGUCCCUCCUGAUAACAUGUCCAAAGUACAUGAGACGAAGCCUCACCGUCCUUGCUUCUAAGGAGUAUUCUGGUUGUACUUCUUCCAAGACAGAUUUUUCAUUCUGGCAGUCCACGGUAUAUUCAGUAUUCUUCGCCAACCUCACAAUUCAAAGGCAUCAACUCUUCUUUGGUCUUCCUUAUUCAUUGUCCAGCUUUUGCAUACAUAUGCAAAUAUGAGUUGAGUGGUAGUCCCCCAAAAAGAAAUGCUGUAACCCUUGCCCACACCUUGAUUUUAGAUUUCUGACCUCCAGAACUGUGAGAGCUUAAACCCCUGUGGUCUUAAACAACCUGGUUCGUGGUUUUUUGUUACAGCUGCCCCAGGAAGCUUAUGCUGCCGGGCUGUCAGAAUGCUGCUCUGGGUACCAUUUUAGCACUGUUUAUCUCACCCGUUUCUCACUGUCACCCCUCAUCUCCUACCCUCUCUGUUAAAUGCACAUCUUGUUAUCUUUAUCAUCAGAGACGGUGCUGCAAUGAUUCAGCCAGGUAUUAACACUUGAGCAGAAACUCACACCUUCCAGCCACGUCCAGCCUGGAGUGGCCAGGGGGCUGCCAGGACCUGCUCAGAGACCCCACUUCUCCCUGCUCCAUGGGCCUGAAGGGGCAACUGGGAGGCGAGGACCUGGGGACGCAGUGGAGACACAGGCUGUCUUGGCUUCCCCGGUUCUGCGUCUCCUCUGCCCUUCUUUGAUUGCCUGGAGGGUAGGCAGCCCCCUACCCUAGCAGAUCUGUGAUGCCUCAGCUGCUCCUUCAACCUGAGCAGCCCUGGGCAGACCCAGUGUUUACUGAGAAGCACUGGUGAGCCGGUAGAGGAAGCGCCCCGCCCUCCAACUAGCUCACCGCAGGGCUCUGUGAGCUGGGGGUGCUGUCCUCCCAGAGGCUGGUACCCACAAAACCAUGAGCAAAACAAGCGGGCGGGCACAAAAGGCUUGGGGAGAGGUCACUUUCCCAUAGGGCCGGGCACAAGGCUUGCUGCUGGCUCUCAAUUUCAUAAACAGUGCCAGGUUGUUAGAAAAAGAUAAUGGAGAACACCCAAACCAAAUCUGUUGCCAUGGAGUCAACUGCGGUUCAUGGAGACAGCACCUGUUACAGGGCACGAGGGCUCCACAGGGUUUUCUUGGCUAUGAUCUUUAGGGAAGCAGACCACCAAGUCUUUUCUUCCGUGGUGCCUGUCAUGAAUUGAGUUGUGUCCCCUCAAAAAUGUGUGUCAACUUGGCUAGGCUGUGAUUCCCAGUAUUAUGUGAUUGUCCACCAUUUUCUCGUCUGAUGUGACUUUCCUACGUGUCGUAAAUCCUAACCUCCGUGAUGUUAACGAGGCAGGACUAGAGGCGGUUAUAUUAAGGAAGCAAGACACAACCUACAGGAUUAGGUUGUAUCUUGAGUCAAUCUCUUUUGAAAUAUUAAAGACAGAAGCAAGCAGAGAGGAGAGAGACCUCCUACCACCAAGAAAGAAGAGCCAGGAGCAGAGCGCAUCCUUUGGACCCUGAGUCCUUGCACUGAGAAGCUCCUCUACCAGGGGCAGAUUGAUGACAAGGACCUUCCUCCACACCUGACAGAGACAGAAAGCCUUCCCCUGGAGCUGGUGCCCUGAAUUCAGACUUCUAGCCUCCAAGACUUAGACUGCGAGAGAAUAAACCUCUGUUUGUUAAGGUCACCGAGUUGUGGUGUUUCUGUUAGAUCAGCACCGGGUGACUAAGACAGCAGGUUGGAACCUCCAACCUUGAAGUUAGUGUUAUUGUUGUUGUUAGCUUCCAUUGAAUCUGUUCCAACUCACAGUGAACCCAUGGGUGGUGUGAUGAGUUGCUUUUACAACCCUUUUCUCACCAUGGACUUGUCCCUCCUACAAAGUGAUUUAUGGUCAGUUUUGUCAUCCUGCUAGGCUUAAAAAAGAGAGCUGAUUCCAAGAAAGAAGAAACGGGAAUGGAGCAUGUCUUUGAACCCAGGGUCCCUGCGCUGAGAACCUCCUCGACCCAGGAGACAGAGAAACAGAGAGAGAAAGAGAAAGAGCUGUAACACCGGAGAUGGGACAAGAUGGUGAGAAGUGGUGGCUGCAGAAUCAGGAGUCUGGCGGGACACAGUGCAGUGAGCUUCAUGGCCCACAGAGCAAGGGGUCUACAGUUGGUGUGCUGACCUAGGAAGUGAGAGAGCUGAGCGCCUUUGGACUGAGGCUUCCUGGCAGAGGGGGGUUUCCCCAGGCACUUGUUGGCAGAGCUAAAGAGUUUUGUAAUACUUGCCCAAGCAGGGCAGGGGCCGAGAGCCGAGAGGCUGAGGGCCAGGGAGAGGUCUGCCUGUGGGCAUGGCUGAGAAGCUGCCCUGAUGGAACAACUGUAUCCUGAGUCAUUCCUGAUCCUGAUUUGUAACCUUUUACUUCCCUAAUAAACCCCAUGGUCACGAGUAUUGUCUGUGUGGCCACUGUGUGGCUGUUGCAACAGGGUAUCCAACCCAACAGAGAAGUAGAGAGUGCUGUGGGAAGGAUGGCUGGUGUCAGAACUGGUAAAAAAUUGGAAGGUGGAGGUAUGUUUGACCUCUGCUUCAUAGGAAACAGCUUUGGGUUGAAAUUGAUGGUGAUUCUCUCUUUCCUCGUGAAGUUAGAGGAGCUCAGAUGCCUUGGUGCUGCCAUGUUCAUGCCAUGCAUUACAGUGUACAACUGUGCUCUGUGGGGUCUUCUUGGCUGUGAUCUUUAUGGAAGCAGAUUGCCAGGCCUUCCUUCCAUGGAGCUGCCGGGGGGUUCGAACCACCAACCUUUGGUUAGAAGCUAAGCACAGUCUUUGGUUUGUGCCACCCAGGGACCUAUGGAAAAGCUUGUACCCGUUCACUGCAACUUGCUGUGUAAAUAUGCUGUGAUUGUUUUCUCCCAUUUGUUAAAAUCAACCAACAAGAAAGAUGAUACACAAAUAUUCAUUGCAGCACUAUUCACAGUAGCCAAAGAGUGGAAACAACCCAAGUGUCCAUCCACAGAUGAAUGGAUAAACACAAUGUGGUCCAUCUGUACAAUGGAGCAUCACUCAGCUAUGAAGGGAAAUGAAGUCCUGAUGCAAGCCAUGAUGCGGCUAAACCUUGAAAACUUCACACUGAGAGAGUAAGCAGACACAAAGGACAAAUACCCUAUGGUCCCACUUUUAUAAAAUACCCAGAAUAGGCAAAUGCAUUAGACAUCAAAGUUUAUUAGUGGUUACCAGGGGAUGGGGGGUGGGGAUGGGGAAAUGAGGAGCUAUUACUUAAAAGGCACUGAAGUUCUGUUUGGGGUGAUGGAAAGUGCUGGAAAUAGAUAGCAGUGAUAGUUGUGCAACACUGGAAAUACAUUAAAUGUCUGACGGUGAAUUUUAUGGGUUUUCUCUUAGUCAUCUAGUGUGGUUAUAACAGAAAUACCACAACUGGGUGGCUUUAACAAACAGAAAAUUUAUUCUCUCACAGUCUGGGAGGCUAUAGGUCUGAAUUCAGGGCGCGGGCCCUAGGGGAAGGCUUUCUGUCUCUGUUGGCCCUGGAGGAAGGUCCUUGUCUCUUUGAGCUUCUGAUCCUGGGCAGAUCUUCAUGUGGCUUGGCAUCGGCUCUUCCUGUAUCUCUGCUGGCUUAAUCUGUUCUUUUUAUUUCUUGAAAAGGACUAAAUGAAGACACAUCCUACGCUAAAUCUGCCUCAUUAACAUAACGAAGACAACCCGUUCCUGAAUAGGAUGAUAACCACAGGCACAGAAGUUAGGAUUUAUAAGGCAUACUUUUCAGAGGCCCAAUUCAACCCGUAACACUCCACCCUUCAGCCCUCAGAAAAUCAUGUCCUUCUCACAUGCAAAGCAUGUUUACCCCAUCACAUCAUCCCAAAAGUCUUAAAUCAACUUCAAACCCAAAAUCUCAUUUUCUGAAUCACCUAAAUCGAAUACGGGUGAGACAUUAGGUGUAUUCCACCUGGGGGUAAAAUUGCUCUUCAUCUGUGAACCUGUGAAAUCUAGAAUACAAGUUAUCCGUUUCCAAAAUACAGUGAUAGAACAGGCACAAGGCAGACAUUUCCAUUACAAAUGGGAGAAAUUGGAGGGAAAGAAGGGAUAAUGGGCAUCAAGCAAGUGCAAAACCCAGCAGAACAAUUUACAAUAGCUCUCAAGGCUUGGAAAUAAUCCUCUGUUCUCUGAGACCAUCUGGGCAAUGGUCCUGUCCUCCAGACUCUGGGUGCUGGCCACACCCUUUGGAUUCUGGGUGGAGGUCCCUCUGCCCUGGGCUUCAGGUCUGCCUUCCAGGUCCACUAGGAUGGCAACUCUGCUCCCUUUGCUUCAGGUGGUCCCAUUCUCCUAGUCCAUCUGAGUGGCAACUCCAAACUCUCGGCCCCAGCAGGCCCCAUUCUUCUGCCUCUUGGGCAUGGCAGCCCCUCCUUCUGAGCUUUGGGCAGUGGCCCCAUCCUUCAGGCACUUGUGAAUGUCAGCCCUCACUCCGGUACUGAAUUGGUGAAGAUCUUCCUCUUUAAAACCUAGGAAGUCGUGGCCGCGCCCUUUGAGAUCCAGAAGACCGUGGCCCCACCCUUUGAAACUGAGAAGGCCCUGCUUCCUGAGCUCCUUCCAACAGUUCUGCUAAUCUCUGAGCUGCUCCAGGGGUGGCUCUUUGCUUUUCUGGGGGGCCUUUUUCCUGCCUGUAGAAUUCCAAGAGGCAGACAGCUUUCUUCCUUUUCUCUCUUUCUCUGUCCCUGUCAGUCUAAGUUGAUGGGUUUUUCUGCUGUGGUAGUUGGUUAGAUCCAUCAGUCACAGGCUUAAUCUGUUUAACAAAAUAUUGUGUAGCCACAUCCUUGGUGACCAUUCUAGGACAGGUGUCCUUAGUUUGUACAACAGAAUUUUCCAAAUCUUUAAGUUUUGUUUCCAUUUUGUACAGUUCAUUUUUAAGUCUGUCUCUUUCCUGUUGCAUUUUACAAUACACACAAAGAAGAAACCAUGUGGCUCCUUUAAGAUCUUGCUUAGAGAUCUCCUAAGCUAAGUCCAUCACUUACAAGUUCUGCCUUCCACCAAACAUUUGAACAUAAUUACGACAAGCUCUUUGCCGCUGCAUAAGAAGCAUCGCCCUUCCUCCACCGUCCAAUCACAUGUUCCUCAUUUUCUUUUAAAACUUCACCAGAAGAGCACUGAACAUCCACAUUUCUAGCAACAUUCUUUAGCUGGCACCAUAUGUAUUCUCUAAGUUGAUGGAGACCUUCUCUAUAGCUCUCUUCACUUCCUCGUGAGUCCUCACCAGAAUUGCCUUCAAUGUCCAUAAUUCUACCAAUGGUUUCUUCAAGGUAAACUAGGCUUUUACUAUUAGUCCCCUUAACACCCUUCUAACCUCUACCCAUUACCCAAUUCCAAAACCGUGUCCACAUUUUAUGUAUCUGUUAGAGCAGCACCCCACUCCCAGUACUAAAUUCUGUCUUAGUUAUAAAGUGCUACUGUAACAGAAUUACCACAGUGGGUGGCUUUUACAAACAGAAGUUUAUUUUCUUACAGUUUAGAAGGCUAAAUUCAGGGCACUGGCUCUAGGGGAAGGCUUUCUGUCUGCUGGCUCUGAGGGAAGGUCCUUGUCUCUUCAGCUUCUGCUUCCUCGUUCCUUGGAGAUCUCCAUGUGUCUAUCUUACCCCAUCUCUGCUUCUCUCACUUACUUGUCUAAUCUCUUUUUAUAUCUCAAAAGAGAUAGACUCCAGAUAUGCCCUACACUAAUCAUGCCUCAUUAACAUAACGAAGACAACCCUCUCCCAAAUGGGAUUAUAACUGGAGGCAUAGGGAUUAGGAUUUCCAACACAUAUUUCUUGGGGGCAUAAUUUAAUCCAUAAUACGUAUUAUGCCACAAUUUUUUUUAAAAGUCAUAAAAAGAAAGGAGGGAGAAGAAGACUAGUGUUAUGACUUUGUGUCUCCAAUCACCACAUGUGGACAUCGUAACCCCUAUACCUGUAAAUACGAUCCUGCUUAGUCAUAGGAAUUUUGUUUUGUUAUAUUAGUGAGGUCAUACUGGAGUAGGGUGGGUCCUAAACCUUAUCCCUUCUGAGUGGCCAGAGAAGCCUGGAAGCCCAAAAAACCAAGCCAGUUGCCAUCAAGUAGACCCCGACUCAUGGCACCCCCACAUUUGCCACAUUUGCUCCAUAGGGUUUGCAGUGCCUGAUUUUUUUGAAGCAAAUUGCCAGGACUUUCUUCCGAGAUGCGCCUGGGUGGACUUGAACUGCCAACCUUUCAAUUAGCAGCUGAGCACUUAACCACUUGAGCCACCUAGGGACUCCCUGGAGAACCCACCAAACCCUUUUUCCUUUGCCCAAGACCCACACCAGCAGGCUCCUCGAAGCGGCUGAGAUUCCUGCUGCAAGACCCCGAUCUCAAUCAUGGACAGAGAUUCCUGGUGGCUUCCAAGGCCCCGUGGGGCUCCUCCCAGGGGUGUUCAUCUGGACCAGUGGUCCUGUUUGGUCCUUUCAGUCUUCUGGAAGAGUCUCUGCCCUUCCUGGGGUCUUCUGGUGGCCGGGUUCGGUGUGACAAGAGCCGACACGUUUGCUGCCCAGAUGGGGAAACUGAGGCCCUGAAGGCAACUUCUUGGGGGCUGCAGCACCAGUGAGAGACCCCCACCUUGAGCCCCCAGUGCCCUGCCCCUGCUCAGCCUCCCAGUCUCCUCGUGGAGGACCAGUCCACUUCGGGAGAUUCCCCACACCUGAUUCUACCUCACAGCAGGUGGAGAGCAGAGAAAGCACCUUCUACUUUAGGAAUCUCAAGUUGUCAAUCCAGCUUCAACUCAUGACAACUCCAUGUGUGUCAGAAUAGAACUGGGAUCCAGGAGGUUUUCAAGACUGUUACCUUUCAGAAGCAGAUUGCCCGGUCUUUCUUCUGAGCUGCCUCUGGGUGGAUUUCAACCCACAAGUUUCUGGCAUCGAGCAACCACAGAGACGAGACUGGCACCCUAUGGAUUCCCGUAGAUAAUCUGGAUGGCGCAAAGGGUGAAGUGCUCAACUACUAGACAGAAGGGAUAUUGUUGAGAGAUUACGGAGAAAGCACCGGAGGGUGCAAACCCUCAAUCCGUUUUUAGAAAGCACAAACAAAUCCUGUGGAUGGUAGAGUCUGUCUUUGACCACAGAGAGGAGGAUCCCCAGAAAGAAAACAGGCCGGAGCGCCAGGAAAGCUCGUGAUUCUUUCUGCCAUUGCGUGACAGGCUGUGGAGGUAAGAGGAAGUGGGAGAUGACAUAGCCCUAAACUCAGCGAGCUGCAACCGCAGCCUCCACCUGGAUUCCGAGAGCUGGGGACAAGCUUCAGAGACCCGCUGGACCCUCCAGGGCUCCACCGUCUUAGGGAACCUGGUGAGAGGGUCCGUGCUUCCUGCUGCAGGAGUUGCAAUGAGCAACCAAGUCCCUCCUCACUCCUGCUCCCCAGCUAGGCGUAGGGGACAA